GAUGAACGCUAGCGGCAGGCCUAAUACAUGCAAGUCGGACGGGAUUUGGGAGCUUGCUCCUAAUGAGAGUGGCGCACGGGUGCGUAACACGUAUGUAACCUACCUUAAUCAGGGGGAUAGCCUCUCGAAAGAGAGAUUAACACCACAUAAUAUAUUUCUAUGGCAUCGUAGAAAUAUCAAAUAUUUAUAGGAUUAAGAUGGGCAUGCGGAACAUUAGCUAGUUGGUAAGGUAACGGCUUACCAAGGCUACGAUGUUUAGGGGAUCUGAGAGGGUUACCCCCGACAAUGGUACUGAGACACGGACCAGACUCCUACGGGAGGCAGCAGUAAGGAAUAUUGGUCAAUGGGCGCAAGCCUGAACCAGCCAGGCCGCGUGCAGGAAGACGGCCCUAUUGGUUGUAAACUGCUUUUGUACCGGAAUAAACCCUUUUACGUGUAAGAGGCUGAAUGUACGGUAAGAAUAAGGAUCGGCUAACUCCGUGCCAGCAGCCGCCGCGG
rnacentral:rRNA from 1 species